rnacentral:rRNA from 1 species
AUGAACGCUGGCGGCGUGCCUAAUACAUGCAAGUCGAGCGAACAGACGAGGAGCUUGCUCCUCUGACGUUAGCGGCGGACGGGUGAGUAACACGUGGAUAACCUACCUAUAAGACUGGGAUAACUUCGGGAAACCGGAGCUAAUACCGGAUAAUAUAUUGAACCGCAUGGUUCAAUAGUGAAAGACGGUUUUGCUGUCACUUAUAGAUGGAUCCGCGCCGCAUUAGCUAGUUGGUAAGGUAACGGCUUACCAAGGCAACGAUGCGUAGCCGACCUGAGAGGGUGAUCGGCCACACUGGAACUGAGACACGGUCCAGACUCCUACGGGAGGCAGCAGUAGGGAAUCUUCCGCAAUGGGCGAAAGCCUGACGGAGCAACGCCGCGUGAGUGAUGAAGGUCUUCGGAUCGUAAAACUCUGUUAUUAGGGAAGAACAAAUGUGUAAGUAACUAUGCACGUCUUGACAGUACCUAAUCAGAAAGCCACGGCUAACUACGUG